UGGUACGUGAGCUGGGUUCAGAACGUCGCGAGACAGUUCGGUCCCUAUCUGCCGUGGGUGUAGGAAUUUUGAGAGGAGCUGUCCUUAGUACGAGAGGACCGGGAUGGACUCACCUCUGGUGGACCUGUUGUGGCGCCAGCCGCAGUGCAGGGUAGCUACGUGAUGAAGGGAUAACCGCUGAAAGCAUCUAAGCGGGAAACCCGCCUCGAAACAAGAAUUCCCUUGAGAGCCGUCGAAGACCACGACGUUGAUAGGCCGGGUGUGGAAGCGCAGCAAUGUGUGAAGCUUACCGGUACUAAUAGCUCGAUUGGCUUGAUCGU
rnacentral:ncRNA from 1 species